GGUAGGACUAAUUUAGUGGUAGAAUACUCCAUUGUGGUUGGAGGUAGCACAGUUCGAUUCUGUGGUUUUACC
rnacentral:tRNA from 1 species